CUCGUAGGCGGUUCGUCGCGUCCGGUGUGAAAGUCCAUCGCUUAACGGUGGAUCCGCGCCGGGUACGGGCGGGCUUGAGUGCGGUAGGGGAGACUGGAAUUCCCGGUGUAACGGUGGAAUGUGUAGAUAUCGGGAAGAACACCAAUGGCGAAGGCAGGUCUCUGGGCCGUCGCUGACGCUGAGGAGCGAAAGCGUGGGGAGCAAACA
rnacentral:rRNA from 1 species